rnacentral:lncRNA from 1 species
GGCAGAGGCAAACCCUAUCCAAACAAGGAAGGGGAGGAAGAUGCAUUGCAAAAUUGUGGAUGGGUCACAUGAUUCAAAAAUACAUGCAUAGAUAUAUUUUUGUCUGGAAGGCCCAGCUCAGAAGUCUGAUGCACUUUAGUGCUUUGCACAGUGAGUUGCUUCCCAGAAAAAAAGAGAACAUUAAAAACACGAACAGCAAAAGCCUGGUAAAAGUUGUAACCAGCUCUGACUGUCCAUGGUAUGACAGCCAACAAAUAUCACCUGCUGAUGAUUUACAGAUUCCUGGGAGAUGUGGUGUUGAGUCUCAAAGAACUGGAAUGAGAACAACUCACUCAACGUGCUUCUCAGGAAACAAUGACUUAAUAUUCUUUCCUGAUUUCCCUGAAGCAGCAUGA